GUUUACAUUAAUUCCUUGUAGCAAAGACUGGAGACCAAGGGGUGAUCCCACACAGAACUAUUCCCCUAUUAUACAGAAACACAAGUAAAGGCCCCUCCAGCCUGUCACCCCAGUGACCACUGGGGAAUACCUGUGAAUGAGUUCCCAGUCUUACUUUACUCUUCUUGGGUUUCUCAGAAUUCAGUCAAAAAAGAAACCACCACAGGCGGCAGCAAGUGUAAACCAAGAAGAGGAACAGGGAAGCCUGAGAAAUCCGGGAAUAACCAGAAAGGAUGUGGAAGAAGUAAGUACCUGUAAAACAGGCAUGCAGCCAUCAUCUCUUCUUUGAACACUGUUCCAAGAAAUGGGCUACACGAAAUGAGAGCUUGCCACUGAAGAGCUGUGGCAGCUGGAAUGUCACUAAACCAGUAUUAACCAGCAGGAGGCACACCACCCCCUAAAUACUUCAGUCCCUUAAAUUAACUGUUCCCAAAAUGGGGAGAGAGUGGCUGGUCUUAUCCUGUAACAAGAAGCUGUGACCCUUUUUUGUUUCAGACAAGAGUGCUGUUUGGUGUGACAAGAUUAAUUGUUCCUUUCGUGGUUUACAGGCUUUAGUGGAUCUGCAGGUGUCCAAACAAGUCCAAAUCCAGAUGUUUGAGAGCUGGGAGGAGCUUGGAGAAUUUGUCACCAUGUUCACAAAAGCUGUAGCUGAAGCACCAUUCAGGCGAGCAAAAGAGGAGACGGACUUCCCUUUCUACUCGGGUCCGGGGUGCUGUGGAGGGCCGAAGGUGGAUCAUGUUGUAAAUGGUCUCUUGCAAGUUUGGAAGAGGCAGUUAGAACAAAUUAGGCAGGUCAACUUUGCGAUGGCUGAGGCUAUUGCAGCUGCCUUCCCUUCUCCACAGCUUCUGUACCAGGCCUACAGCAGAUUAACCUCGGAGACGGAGCGGGAAAACCUGCUGGUGAACAUCCCUUCGUGCAGUGGUGCUGGCAGGACCUUCCAGGCAGUUAGACCAUACCUCUCCCGACAAAUCUAUCAGCAGACCACUUCCUACAACCCUUCUCUCUAUUUGAAUUACAAUCCAUAGCCCCAGGGAAUGAGGCUGUUACAGUUUGACUGGUUUAGGUAUUCAGUUUUGUUCUGGGAAGAAACGCUUAGAUAAUUAAGUUAUUGUGCCAAGUUCAAGUUUAAAGUUCAAGGUCCACGUUAAGUUCAAGGUCCAAUUCAAGUUUAAAGUUCAAGGUCCACGUUAAGUUCAAGGUCCAAGUUCAAGACUUUAUUGUAGCAGAAGAAGGUUGGAUGAAAUUGUUGAACGGCUGGAGUCUGCAGAAGAAAGGUGGUGAACAUCAUCAGAACAUGAAUUGGACACUGUUUAUAGCAUUGAUAAUUCCUUCUAUUUCAUAAACAAUUUUGAAUAAUUAACUUUGCUUUGUAACAUGUUGUCUUGAA